GGAGGGUGACGUUACAGAUGACCACUCCAAGCCUGGAUUUGUUUGUUUCCAAAGCGAUUGGGACAUCAGCUCUUCAGUAUCAACACCAAAUCCAAUUACAGCUGUGCAAUGCCAAAAUGAAACCUGCUGUGUCAAACCGGACUACGAGGACAUUUGCUCAGAUUUUACAGCGACCUUCACUUCAGGAAACUGUGUGAACUCUUCCUUUACCCGCACCACAAACAUCCCUGUUGAUCCAAGUGAAAUAGACCAACCACGUCCCACUGGACUUCCUGCAACAAUUAAUCCAAUGUUACCUCCAAACUGCAGAGAUCUCACAGUUGAUUACACCUGUUCAGAAAGUGGAAAAGCCUCCAAGAACCUGUCUGAGCUGGAGCCUUUCACAGACUACAACUGUACGGGUCUGAUUAAGGUCAAUAACAUCUUCAUAAAUAAGAUAACUCCACCGAUCCCCGUCAGGAUCGACUGUCGUUUCACAAUAAAAGAAACAAAGAACAAGAUAAGCAACACUUCCAUUGAGCUGAACUGGGAAACAACCAGUGAGAACUGCAAAGUUGACCUCACUCAACUUCCGAACCUUUCUCAUAUCUGCAGCUGUGGGAAAAGUAAAAGUCAACGUAAGUAAAAUAACUUGGAGUCACUCUGCCUU